rnacentral:lncRNA from 1 species
UAUUUUCCUGUUUUUGCUAAUUGUGCUUAAUUUGAUCAGAAAUUCUUAUUUUAAUUAAUUUGAAUAUUCUGAGCUAAUUAUUUGUAUUAUUAAUUGCAGAGAAAAUUUUGAAAAUAUGAUUUGGAAUAUUUAGGGGGCACUACGGUAAUUUUAAUUAUCUGGACUUGUGAUAAAGGGGUACUUGAAUUGGAAGGGAGAGUGACAUCUAGCAAUAGAAUAUGCACGGCCCACAUAUCCAUUGAAAAGCUGAAAUAUUAAAUAAAAAAUGAGGAUCGGUGAGCACCGGGCUGCAUGUGAAGAAGAGGUGUGACAACACUUUAAAAGAGCGGGCCCAUGGAGACAAUUAAUUGGGUGAUUGUCACGGCCUGUUUGGCUUUUAGAAAAAAAAAAAAGGAGACACGUUCACAUUGCAUUUCAAACAAAGUGGUGUGAAUGGCUGCGGGAAUGGCACACGCCCAACACUUGGAGAAAGUACGAAGCCCAGCAGAUUGCAGCCCACGUGGUGCGGCAUAUUCUAGCAUCCAAGCAGGUCCAUGCAAAAGCACGUCCAACACACAACAUCUCCAGCGGUGCAAACAGUAGCUUCCCAACUCCACCGUCCAGCUGCUGCAACCUCCAAGCUUCAAACAGCAUCUCAGCCUUGGGCCAGCAUCACACGUCCAGAAGAAAGUGCAUGGAAGAAAGAAAAGCAAUGGUUGAAAUCAUUUGAAGCUGCCACGGCCCAUGGAAAAGGAAAAGGAAGGCAGCAGCCCUCACUCAUUCACGGAGGCAGCAAGGCACCCAUGGCAUUCAGCAGCCCUUCACGGCUUCAUUCCCUCACGGCCCAGCAAUCAACUUUGCACGUCCGCAUCACUCGAACAAGCAUAAGCAGGUGCAGCCCAUGAAUCCAGCUGCGAGCACCACACCUGCAGCUACAAUAUCACGGCCCACAUUCAGCAGCGGUGCAGUCCAGCAAGCUCCAGCCUUGAUCCAUCCUCACAGUGCAACCUGCAGCAGAAUGAAGGUGCACCCAACUCCACCUUUUUCACGGUUUGGACAACAACACUCACAGCUUUCACGGACAGCAGCUUAGACGGGAUGCAGAUGAGGCCCAUGGAAUAAAGUGGUGAUUGAAGGAAACACACGACCACAUCUUCGGCAGCAGCCACCACCACACGCAUAUACAUUAGGCUUGAAGAGUCAGCAGCAUCACUUGGGCUCGGAGAACAGCUGCAUAGCACGGCCCAUAUGCAUCCAGCCAACAGCUUGGGAGGUGCUUGGAGAAAGUUCCUGAUUGCGGGUGUACGAUCCUAUAUUUCCAACGAUCGGAAAUAACUAAAGACUGAACGGUCUUAGUGGACAAGCGGCC